UACGUAGGGGCGAGCGUUGUCCGGAAUGAUUGGGCGUAAAGGGCGCGCAGGCGGCCUGUCAAGUCAGUAGUGGAAGUCCAUUCUUCAAGGAUGGAAGUGCUAUAGAAACUGAUGGGCUUGAGUGCAGGAGAGGUUAUCGGAAUUCUCGGUGUAGCGGUGAAAUGCGUAGAGAUCGGGAGGAACACCAGUGGCGAAGGCGGGUAACUGGACUGCAACUGACGCUGAGGCGCGAAAGUGUGGGGAGCAAACAGGAUUAGA
rnacentral:rRNA from 1 species